CCCCCUUCGGGGGGCAAGUAGAGUGGCGCACGGGUGAGUAACACGUAGGUAAUCUACCUUUGGAUGGGGAAUAACAACCGGAAACGGUUGCUAAUACCGCAUAAUGCAGCGGCACCUAAUGGUGACAGUUGUUAAAGCGGGGGAUCGCAAGACCUCGCGUCUGAAGAGGAGCCUGCGGCAGAUUAGCUAGUUGGUAAGGUAAAGGCUUACCAAGGCGAUGAUCUGUAGCCGGCCUGAGAGGGCGGUCGGCCACACUGACACUGACAUACGGGUCAGACUCCUACGGGAGGCAGCAGUCGGGAAUUUUGGGCAAUGGGCGAAAGCCCGACCCAGCAACGCCGCGUGAAGGAUGAAAUCCCUCGGGAUGUAAACUUCGCAAGAACGGGAAGAAUAAGUAAGAGCUAACGUCUCUUAUGAUGACGGUACUGUUUGUAAGCUCCGGCUAACUCCGUGCCAGCAGCCGCGGUAAUACGGGGGGAGCAAGCGUUGUUCGGAUUUACUGGGCGUAAAGGGCGCGUAGGCGGCCACCGCAAGUCGACUGUGAAAUCUCCGGGCUUAACUCGGAAAGGUCAGCCGAUACUGCGGGGCUAGAGUGCAGAAGGGGCAACUGGAAUUCUCGGUGUAGCGGUGAAAUGCGUAGAUAUCGAGAGGAACACCUGCGGCGAAGGCGGGUUGCUGGGCUGACACUGACGCUGAGGCGCGAAAGCUAGGGGAGCGAACGGGAUUAGAUACCCCGGUAGUCCUAGCCUUAAACGAUGAAUGCUUGGUGUCUGGGGUUUUAUAG
rnacentral:rRNA from 1 species